rnacentral:lncRNA from 1 species
GUCUUGUUAGUAUUGUUUUUUCCUUCGUAUGAGUCCCUGGUGACUGCUUUUCUAGUGGAAAAGAGCACCAUCAAGAUGGAUGAGGUCACCGCUGUGAUUUUUCAGAAUGAGGUUCUUAGGAGGGAGAACCCAACUUCGAGCUCAAGUGGCAGCUCAACUUUGAUAGUUUCUGAAGGAGUAGGAGGCGGUAGAUGGAGUAAUAGAAGAUCGC